rnacentral:rRNA from 1 species
GGCGGCGUGCCUAAUACAUGCAAGUCGAACGCUUCUUUUUCACCGAACUUCGGUUCAUCGAAAAAGAGGAGUGGCGAACGGGUGAGUAACACGUGGGUAACCUGCCCAUCAGAAGGGGAUAACACUUGGAAACAGGUGCUAAUACCGUAUAAUGCUUUUUCUCGCAUGAGAGCAAGCUGAAAGGCGCUUUCGCGUCACUGAUGGAUGGACCCGCGGUGCAUUAGCUAGUUGGUGAGGUAACGGCUCACCAAGGCCACGAUGCAUAGCCGACCUGAGAGGGUGAUCGGCCACACUGGGACUGAGACACGGCCCAGACUCCUACGGGAGGCAGCAGUAGGGAAUCUUCGGCAAUGGACGAAAGUCUGACCGAGCAACGCCGCGUGAGUGAAGAAGGUUUUCGGAUCGUAAAAACUCUGUUGUUA